AGACAAACAUUCUUCAUAUCUCUUGAUUUAAGAUGAAUUUCUUCUUAAAAGUUUUGUUGGUUAUAGAAAAUUGAGAGAUAUUUAUCACAUGUGAAAAUUAGGGAGAAAGAAUAUUGGGGCAUGGAGAUAUAAUAGACACAAAAUUAAGUGUCUGGGUUAGAGCAAAGAGAAGAAGAAGAGAGUCUUCUUCUAGGGUUGCUGAGUUCAUCUCUUUC
rnacentral:lncRNA from 1 species